rnacentral:rRNA from 1 species
UACGUAGGGACCAAGCGUUGUUCGGAUUUACUGGGCGUAAAGGGUGCGUAGGCGGGUCUUUUAAGUCAGGGGUGAAAUCCUGGAGCUCAACUCCAGAACUGCCUUUGAUACUGAGGAUCUUGAGUUCGGGAGAGGUGAGUGGAACUGCGAGUGUAGAGGUGAAAUUCGUAGAUAUUCGCAAGAACACCAGUGGCGAAGGCGGCUCACUGGCCCGAUACUGACGCUGAUGCACGAAAAGCGUGGGGGAGCAAAACAGG